GUUAACAUACUUUAUAAAGGAGAAGGUUUGAUUUGCAUUUAAAAAGAGGGUCCGCCCCUGUUAACU
rnacentral:tRNA from 1 species